rnacentral:rRNA from 1 species
AGUGAACGCUGGCGGUAGGCCUAACACAUGCAAGUCGAACGGCAGCACAGUAAGAGCUUGCUCUUACGGGUGGCGAGUGGCGGACGGGUGAGGAAUAUAUCGGAAUCUACUUUUUCGUGGGGGAUAACGUAGGGAAACUUACGCUAAUACCGCAUAUGACCUACGGGUGAAAGCAGGGGAUCUUCUGACCUUGUGCGAUUGAAUGAGCCGAUGUCGGAUUAGCUAGUUGGCGGGGUAAAGGCCUACCAAGGCGGCGAUCCGUAGCUGGUCUGAGAGGAUGAUCAGCCACACUGGAACUGAGACACGGUCCAGACUCCUACGGGAGGCAGCAGUGGGGAAUAUUGGACAAUGGGCGCAAGCCUGAUCCAGCCAUACCGCGUGGGUGAAGAAGGCCUUCGGGUUGUAAAGCCCUUUUGUUGGGAAAGAAAAGCAGCAGGUUAAUACCCCGCUGUUCUGACGGUACCCAAAGAAUAAGCACCGGCUAACUUCGUG